CCGCUGGCAAUCAAACAGUUAAUCGUAAGGCACCGACCACUCACCAGAGCACUGUUAAGUGUUUCAAGUGCUUAGGAGUGGGGCAUAUUGCAUCGUAAUAUCCCAAGCAGUGUGCCAUGAUUAUCCAAGAUAAUAGAGAUAUUGUCAGUGACCAUGAAAGCAAAAACAAGCAAGAAGAUCCAUCGUUAGUGGAUGUAGGUCGAGAAAGUAUAGCUCAACUAGUACAGGGAGAUAUAUUUGUGGCUCAACAAGCAAUAAAC
rnacentral:lncRNA from 1 species